rnacentral:lncRNA from 1 species
CACCAGGGGUGACCAUGCUGGGCUUGAGGAGGAUGCCCUCGAAUAUCACAUUGUUCUCAGCCAGGUAGUAGAAGGUCUCGGCCCACACCUUCUGUGCAACCUCGAAGGUCCUCUCGAUGCCGUGCUCACCGUCAAGAAGGAUUUCAGGCUCCACAAUUGGCACCAGGCCGUUGUCCUAGCGUAUCCACAGAUAGUAUAUGUUUAUACACAUGCAUGUCGAAAGGAAACCAAUGGUCCUUUUUCAACUGGUG